rnacentral:rRNA from 1 species
GACGAACGCUGGCGGCGUGCCUAGUACAUGCAAGUGGGACGCAAGGGAACACACUGUGCUUGCACACCGUGUUUUCUUGAGUCGCGAACGGGUGAGUAACGCGUAGGUAACCUGCCUAUUAGCGGGGGAUAACUAUUGGAAACGAUAGCUAAUACCGCAUAAUAUUAAUUAUUGCAUGAAAAUUGAUUGAAAGAUGCAAGCGCAUCACUAGUAGAUGGACCUGCGUUGUAUUAGCUAGUUGGUAAGGUAAGAGCUUACCAAGGCGACGAUACAUAGCCGACCUGAGAGGGUGAUCGGCCACACUGGGACUGAGACACGGCCCAGACUCCUACGGGAGGCAGCAGUAGGGAAUCUUCGGCAAUGGACGAAAGUCU